GAAAGUUCCGGCGCUCCGGCGCCAACCUUCAAACCACUGUGAAAACACCCGUUGCUUCGGCGGCAUGGGACUCGCGUCCCCGUCAGUCCGCCAGAGGCUCCAAACCAUAAACCUUUUCUGUAACCGUAGUCUGGUAACUAAAGAUUUAAUUCGUUA
rnacentral:misc_RNA from 1 species